UUCUGCGCUCCCGAGAGCGCAGGACGCCCCUCGGAAGGGAGGCUGCCCCGGCUGCUGCGACUCCCGGGGCUCCGGAGGGCUGCAGAACUCGGUUCCCACCGCAAGAGCUCCUGCGGGGCCGGGGAACAUCGCUGCUGGGACGCCGGGCUCGGGGUACGGGUCCGGAGUUCUUUGGAGCAAUCGAGCCUGAACCUGCCCAGGGGUCAUCAGGCUAAAGCACCACAACCUGGACUGGCCCGCCGAGAAUGUGGCUGGCCGCGGUGGUAGGGCCCUUACGGAGCCGGCGCCGUCCUGUGGGGUGGGCACUGCUGGCCCGGCUUAUGGAAGAGAAAACUGAGGCUUAAUAAGAAAAAGGGGCCAGCGGAAGGUGAUGCCAUGAUUUGUGGCUGGAGACUACUUGUUUCCUGGACCCCUCAACCCCAUUCUGUGAUAGGGAAAGGUCUUCCCUGAUUAGCCAAAUCGGGGUUGGCACGAGGGUCUUUUGUGAUUGGAGGGGUCCACGUGAGCGCUCAGAGGCUGUGCUGGAGUCUCAGCUCCUGCCACUGCGCUCCGGUGGGCAAUUGCAUACAGAGGGAGGCCAGAUAGCAGACCCCACAACGUGGCUCCUGGGACCCCACUAUAGAGAGCUCAGGCCCCGCAGGCACCUGCCUACCAGAGGAAAAGAAUCUUCCCAAAGUGCAGACUGAGACGGAAUUUAAUCAGUAGUCCCAGACUUGGAGUUUGGAGACUUGGGCUCUGGUGUCAGGUGACUUUGCUUCCUCCCCAAGCCUCCACUUCUCCUUGACCUUGGGCAAGUUUCUUGUAUUCUGAAUCUUAGUUUCUUGUCUCUAAAAUCCGGAGGGACAAUAAACAGUAGUGUCUGCCUCCCAAGGUUGCUUUAGAAUUACAUGAGACUGCCCUAGGAAACCCUCGAAGAAUGUUAACUUCUUCCUUCCUUUCUCUCUCUCUCUCUCUCUCUCUCUCUCUCUCUCUCUCUCUCUUUCGAUUUCUUUCUUUUUGACGGAGUCUGGCUCUCUCACCAGGCUGGAGUAUAGCUGCGGGAUCUUGGCUCACUGCAACCUCCACCUUGCGGGUUCAAGUGAUUCUCCUGCCUCAGCCUCCCCAGUAGCUGGGACUACAGGCCAGCGCCACCACACCCAGCUAAUUUUUGUAUUUUUAGUAGAGGCAGGGUUUCCCCGUGUUGACCAGGGUGGUCUCAGUCUCUUGGCCUUGUGAUCUGUCUGCCUCGGCCUCCCAAAGUGCUGGGAUUACAGGCAUGAGCCACCACACCCAGCUGGCUGCUGUGUUCUUGCUAGCAUUAACUCUCAUGGUCAUGGGGGAAGACAACGGUAUGGUGUCCCUUAUAGAGACAAGGAGACUGAGGCUCAGAGAUGGAUUUACCCAAGGUUGGCCUGAGGCCUAAGAUCCAGAGGGCCAGGUCUCUGGACGUGGCCUGUUCCCUGUUUAGAGGGCUGUGGGAGAGAAAGUGGGUAAAGCAUGACCCCCAAGGGACAAAGUGGCCUCCUGCCUAGUGCCAGACCAAAAAGGCUGAGUACAGGAGAGGAGUUGGCGUUGGGCCCUCCAAAGGGCAGUGGGAGGUUUGAGACACUCUGGACUGCUGCUAGAGCUGUGUUCUUGGGUCCCAGGGCCCCAGCACCCGAACAGACAGCUCAGAGCUGCAGUCCUGCAGGGUAGCCCAGCCCUACAGGGCCUAGAAGCUGGGUCCUUCCAGGCCUGGGCUGGGAAUUGGGUAGGAGGGUUGGGAGGCCCAGGAAGCCUCCCAGUGUCCUCGCACCACCAAGUGAAAAGACACUGAGCAGCAAUGACUGGGGAAGGAGGGAGAGGCCUGGAGGCCAUGCAUAUGACCCACAAGGGGCUCUAUGGGCUCUUCCCAGCCCCUCUGCCUCACUGGCCUUGGUCUUUCUGGGACCAAAGGCCAAGCCUGACUGAGGCCCUCCCAAGGCUCCUGUGCCUAACAUGCUCACUUUCCCUGGACUGUGACAACGGCCCCUUGGUGGCCACCUGGACUCUGUCUCCCUGCAGCCAAAGGCGGCGGGGAGGUACCCUUUAAUUUUUUUUUACAAGUAAUCAUGUACAAUAUGAAAAAGAACAUUCUGAUAAGAAAACAAAAUAAUUACAGUUGUCAAAACACUCUGAAACCCAAAACCUUUUACCCAGUGACUUUCAACAUUUCAGUGUAAACUCUUCCAGGCUUUUACCCUGUGGGUAAACACACACACGUGAGCGCUCACACACACACACACACACACACACUUAAGCUCUACAAAAUUAUAGUGGUAUGUUACUUGUUGGGGUGUUUUGACAGUGUCAGGUUUGUAAAACCCAGUAUUUACCAAUAUUUUCUAAUAAUUUAAUGUUUUCUUCUUAUAUUUGACUUUCAAAUGCUCAUUUUAAAACCAACUGGACUGUAUUUUGGAGUAAGAUGUAUACUAGAGAGUUCGAUUUGUUUCAAUUAAUAGACAUUUUUGAGCAGUUUUAGGUUUAUAGAAAAAUUGAGGGCAAAGUGCAGAGUUCCAUAUUCUUAGUCUGUCCCUCCCUCCAUACUUUCUCCUAUUUUUCUUUCUAUUCUUUUCCUUUCUUUUUUUUCUUUCUGCCUUUUUGAGACAGGGUCUCACUUUGUUGCUCCAGCUGCAGUGCAGUAGCACAAACACAGCUCACUGCAGCAUUGAACUCCUGGACUCAAGUGAUUCUCAUGCCUCAGCCUCCCAAGUAGCUGGAACUACAGGCAUGUACAACCAUGCCACACUAAUUUAAAAAUUUUUUUUGUAGAGAUGGGUCUCCCUUUGUUGCCCAGGCUGGUCUUGAACUCCUGGGCUCAAGUGAUCCUCUUGCCUUGGCCUCCCAAAGUGCUGGCACUACAGGCAUGAACCACUAGGCCCGGCCUCCCCCAUUAUUAACAUUGUGCAUUGAUAUAUUUUUGUUAUACCUUUUUUUAAAAAACAGUCUUGGCUGGGCGCGGUGGCUCAAGCCUGUAAUUCCAGCACUUUGGGAGGCCGAGGUGGGUGAUCACGAGGUCAAGAGAUUGAGACGAUCCUGGUCAACAUGGUGAAACCCCGUCUCUACUAAAAAUACAAAAAAUUAGCUGGGCAUGGUGGCACAUGCCUGUAAUCCCAGCUACUCAGGAGGCUGAGGCAGGAGAAUUGCCUGAACCCAGGAGGCGGAGGUUGCGGUGAGCCGAGAUCUCGACAUUGCACUCCAGCCUGGGUAACAAGAGUGAAACUCCAUCUCAAAAACAAAAACAAAAAAACAGUCUUGCUCUGUUGCCCAGGCAGGAGUACAGUGGCAUAAUCUCAGCUCAGUGCCGUCUCUGCCUCCCAGAUUCAAGCAAUUCUUGUGCCUCAGCCUCUUGAGUAGCUGGGAUUACAGGUGCAUGACCAUGCCCAGCUAAUUAUUGUACUUUAAUAAUAGUAGAGACAGGGUUUUACCAUGUUGGCCAGGCUGGAUUUGAACGCCUGGCCUCAAGUGAUCAGCCUGCCUUGGCCUCCCAAAGUUCUGGGAUUACAGGCGUGACCCACCAUGCCUGGCCAAUUUUGUUAUACUUGAUGACCCAAUAUUGAUACAAUAUUAUUAAUGAAAGUCCCUAGUUUACAUUAGAAUUUCCUCUUAGUGUUGUACAUUCUAUGGUUUUCAUAGAGAAUAAUUUUACUGACCUGAAACUCUCCUGUGCUCUACCCAUCCAUCCCCUAGCCCUCCCCGCCCAACCCUAUCCCUGGCAACCACUGCUUUCUGUCUUUGUAGUUUUGUCUUUUCCAGAAUGUCAUAGAGUAUGUAUGAAUCAUAUGUUAUGUAGCCUUUCCAGACUGGCUUCUUUCACUUAGCAAAAUGCAUUUAAGCAUCCUCCAUGUCUUUUUGUGGUUUGAUAACUCAUUUCUUUUUGUAACUGAGUACUCCUCCGUUGUAUGGAUGUGAAUGCACCACAGUUUAUUUCUGCAUUCACCUGCUAAAGGAUAUCUUGAUUACUUCCAAGUUUUAGUAGUGAAUAAAGCUGCUAUCCAUAUUUGUGUGCAGGUUUUUGUGUGGACGUUAGUUUUCUUCUCAUUUGGGAAAAUAUCAAGAGCGAUUGAUGGAUCAUAUGGUAAAAAGUUUCCCUCUUGUAACCAAGGCUGGAGUGCAAUGGCGCGAUCUCAGCUCACCGCAACCUCUGCCUCCUGGGUUCAGGCAAUUCUCCUGCCUCAGCCUCCCGAGUAGCUGGGAUUACAGGCACGCGCCACCAUGCCCAGCUAAUUUUUUGUAUUUUUAGUAGAGACGGGGUUUCACCAUGUUGACCAGGAUCGUCUCAAUCUCUUGACCUCGUGAUCACCCACCUCGGCCUCCCAAAGUGCUGGAAUUACAGGCUUGAGCCACCACGCCCAGCCUGGGUUGUUUUAAAAUGUAUUAAAACUGUUGAGUUCUAAUAGUUCUUUGUAUAUUUUGGAUAACAGUCCUUUAUCAGAUAUGUCUCUUCUCCCCAACCAUGGCUUGUCUUUUCAUUCUCUUAACAGUGUCUUUUGCAGAGCAUACAUUUUUAAUUUUAAUAAAGUCUAAUGUAGCCUUUUUUCCUCCAUAAAUUGUGCUUUUAUUGUUGUAUCUAAAAAGUCAAAUCUAAAUUUUGGCAGUUACAAAUAAAGAUGCUGUAAACAUCA